rnacentral:rRNA from 1 species
GUGAGCCUACGGGGCGCAGCAGUGGGGGAUAUUGCACAAUGGGGGGAACCCUGAUGCAGCGACGCCGCGUGGGUGAAGAAGCGCCUCGGCGCGUAAAGCCCUGUCAGCAGGGAAGAAAAUGACGGUACCUGAAGAAGAAGCCCCGGCCAACUACGUGCCAGCAGCCGCGGUAAUACGUAGGGAGCAAGCGUUAUCCGGAUUUAUUGGGUGUAAAGGGUGCGUAGACGGGAUAACAAGUUAGUUGUGAAAACCCUCGGCUCAACUGAGGAACUGCACCUAAAACUAUUAUUCUUGAGUGCAGGAGG